UACGUAGGGGGGCUAGCGUUGUCCGGAUUUAUUGGGCGUAAAGCGCGUGUAGGCGGCCAGAUAGGUCUGCUGUGAAAACUCGAGGCUCAACCUCGAGCUGUCGGCGGAAACCAUUUGGCUAGAGUCCGGAAGAGGAGAGUGGAAUUCCCGGUGUAGCGGUGAAAUGCGCAGAUAUCAGGAGGAACACCGGUGGCGAAGGCGGUUCUCUGGGCCUGUACUGACGCUGAGGAACGAAAGCGUGGGGAGCGAACAGG
rnacentral:rRNA from 1 species